CGCCAACUGGAAGAGGAUGUUGUUAGCAGGCAGUGUAGAUGCACAGCCUUUUCACAACAAUAACAUCAACUAAUAUUUGCAUCUUUACAUCUCCGGACUGUGGAUUACACUUUGUCAACCUCCUCGGAUCCGGAUAUUGGAUAGCAAACCUUACAUUUACACAUAUUUGAAGUUCUGUUUUCUUUAGACAAUGGAACAGGAUGGGUUUGCAGGUCUACUGGACUGUUUUUUCGCUAAAGCAGAAAAAAGAGUCUUUCCUUGCCAGCUAGGCCGCAGAAGAUUUUUGUCACGAUGAGCAAGAGUCGACUGGUGGUAGAAUAUUGGAUUACUUGUCUAUACGUCUAUAGUUUGCAGCUGCUUUGGAACAUAAGCGUUUAUAGCGAUAUUAUCGUUCUUUUUUGCCGUUUUAGUUUGAGCCGACAACUGAAGCUAACGAGCCCGUUAGCUUCUCAACCUUGACUGGCUGUCUAGUCCCAGUAGGUAGCUGGCUAGCUAGCGCUCUCUUAGCAACCUAAGCAAUUGGGGUUAAACUUUUCGUUUGGCUCUACGUUCACCAGAGGGUUCCCCCAAGGAUUUUGGCUCCACCAUUUGUUUUUAUUUUUUUCGAGGUUGCUUCUGGAUGAAUGUGGAACAAAAUGGAGACGCCGACGAUUGUGUACGAUUUGGAUACCUCUGGAGGCUUGAUGGAGCAAAUCCAAACUCUGUUGGCACCUCCGAAGUCAGAAGAUGUUGA